rnacentral:rRNA from 1 species
AAAGGAAUUGACGGGACCGUACAAGCGGUGGAUGAUGUGGUUUAAUUCGAUGCAACGCGAAAACUUACCCACCUUGACAUGUACGGAAGCCUUUAGAGAUAGAGGCGUGCUCGAAAGAGAGCCGUAACACAGGUGCUGCAUGGCUGUCGUCAGCUCGUGUCGUGAGAUGUUGGGUUAAGUCCCGCAACGAGCGCAACCCUUGUCAUUAGUUGCUACAUUCAGUUGGGCACUCUAAUGAGACUGCCGGUGACAAGCCGGAGGAAGGUGGGGAUGACGUCAAGUCCUCAUGGCCCUUAUAGGUGGGGCUACACACGUCAUACAAUGGCUGGUACAAAGGGUUGCCAACCCGCGAGGGGGAGCUAAUCCCAUAAAGCCAGUCGUAGUCCGGAUCGUAGUCUGCAACUCGACUACGUGAAGUCGGAAUCGCUAGUAAUCGUGGAUCAGAAUGUCACGGUGAAUACGUUCCCGGGUCUU